rnacentral:lncRNA from 1 species
CCCGUGCCGUUUUAUGUGGAAACUUAUUUACGUAAGUACGCUUUCUUUUCAAGAAAACGUACUUUGGUACUGCUACGGGCUGCAAUACGUUUUCUGAUUCUGAAAGCAUAUUCUCUCAAAUGUGUUUUCUAUUUUCAGCCGCCAGGGACCUGUUUGUGAGGAUCUUUUCAUAGAUUAGUACCUGAACUUCUACACCUCAUAACCUCGCAACCGUAACUCCGGUUGAGGUGAAACCAAUGCUCACUUCUUUGUCUCAUCGAGCUCUUUCUGUUGGUGUCAUUUUCAUAAGGUGUUCACACUGUGAAAAGGACCAUGAUGUGCUUGCACUUAUCAGCCCCCUUCGAGAGAGUAGAUGUCUGGCGUUUUGUUCCGCGGCUUCACCGCACUUCCUCCCGGAGUCUCCGUCACCCCCAGGCAAGCCACAACAGCCAUUUGCAUGAUAGCCAUGCAGUAGCCAUGGUUUCUACUUGAAUAAUUAAUAAAAGUUUGCCUGUUAUCUGCUUGCUUGUUUGCUACUACUGUCGUUGUUUCGGUUAUGCUCGUGGUUUCAUGUUCACCUUCAUGCUAUGCUCCGAUGCAUCUUGUUAUAUUGUGCUACUUGCUAGUAUCAUAUUCACAUGUCAUGCUUGGUAGUAGUAGUACAUGUUGGUAGUAGUGGUGUUCAUUCUGAU